ensembl:miRNA
GCACUCGAAUUGCCAUUUCUCGGUCUUCAAGGCCUCCUCCUGCCGCUGGCCCUGCAGUUCCUGAACCUGAACAGAGGAGGCGGGUAAAGACUGCAGGGUUGGAAGAAGGGGCAGGGACUGAGUACAAAGUGAAGGGGCGGGGCUA